UGGGCUUGACAUGCGCCAGACAUCCCUAGAGAUAGGGCUUCCCUUGUGGUUGGUGUACAGGUGGUGCAUGGCUGUCGUCAGCUCGUGUCGUGAGAUGUUGGGUUAAGUCCCGCAACGAGCGCAACCCUCGUCCUAUGUUGCCAGCACGUGGUGGUGGGGACUCAUAGGAGACUGCCGGGGUCAACUCGGAGGAAGGUGGGGAUGACGUCAAGGUACGGAC
rnacentral:misc_RNA from 1 species